ACACUCCUGCGGGAGGCAGCAGUGGGGAAUUUUGGACAAUGGGCGAAAGCCUGAUCCAGCAAUGCCGCGUGAGUGAAGAAGGCCUUCGGGUUGUAAAGCUCUUUUGUCAGGGAAGAAACGGUGAAAGCUAAUAUCUUUUGCUAAUGACGGUACCUGAAGAAUAAGCACCGGCUAACUACGUGCCAGCAGCCGCGGUAAUACGUAGGGUGCAAGCGUUAAUCGGAAUUACUGGGCGUAAAGCGUGCGCAGGCGGUUUUGUAAGUCUGAUGUGAAAUCCCCGGGCUCAACCUGGGAAUUGCAUUGGAGACUGCAAGGCUAGAAUCUAGCAGAGGGGGGUAGAAUUCCACGUGUAGCAGUGAAAUGCGUAGAUAUGUGGAGGAACACCGAUGGCGAAGGCAGCCCCCUGGGUCAAGAUUGACGCUCAUGCACGAAAGCGUGGGGAGCAAACAGGAUUAGAAACCCUAGUAGUCCCA
rnacentral:rRNA from 1 species